GCAUUGGUGUUUCAGUGGUAGAAUUCUCAUCUUCCAUGCAGGAGACGUGAGUUAGAUUCCCAGCCAAUGCA
rnacentral:tRNA from 1 species